GCUAAUCACCUGGCACCGAGCUCGAAGCGGCGCCGAGUCGUUCGCACGCGGAGAGGGAGGGUAGUUAGAGGGCCAUCCUUUUCUGCCGUUAUGGAUUUAAACCCAUAAAGAGGAAACGAGAAACCAGAGGCUCAAAGCUAAGGAAGCUCGCACCUACCGGCUUAACUUCGCACGCCUCUCCAGGAGCCGGGAACCAUCGCCCUUGGGCGCUCCCCGAUGCACGCCGGGAUACGCCUGGCGCCCCUCGGUGUGCUGCAGAGCAUGCCGGGAAAGGCACCUCUCCCGAUCUCCUGGCGCUCACCUCCCGGGCGUUCCUUUCGUGUCCCCUUGAAAGCCCGGUCCUUGGGCUUGGAAUGAGACGGUUUGGGUAAUUAUGGGAGUGUGGCGAGGCUCAUGCCUGCUUUGGUCAGUAGAAUACAGCUGAAGUGAUGUUGUACCAGUUUUGCGUCUGGUCUUUACAAGCACUGGUAGCUUCAACUUUCUCCUUCUUGGUACUCACCCACCAUGUUGUAAGGAAACCCAAACAGCCACGUGGAAGACAGUUCUAGUUGAGCUCCCAGCCCAGAGCCUAUCCCAACUCUCCAGCCAUACCCUGACUUCCUUCAGCAAAGAGACAGCUUCUGAUUCAUGUUCGUCUCACCAUAAUCAGUCCUUGAAGGCUCACCUAUCCUCGUGGCUGCAGCCAUUUCCCUCUCUGCAGAUACUUCCAAAAGUUACACUAGAUGUUAACUGAGCACUAAGGACACUACGUGAAAGACUGGAGUACAAACAUCCAAAGGACUGAAGAAUUUGAAGAGCACUGAAUGUGGGAGAUAGGACAGAGGAAAGGAGUCAAAUGUCUCCAAGAAACGAAGCCUGUGUGCCCUGGAGAAUGAAGAAGCAUCAUCAAAUCGGGGAGACUGAAGGAGGAAUCGGUUUUCAGAGAAAAACAAUUUAUAUUGUCUUAGCUGUGUUAGGUGGCAUACUAUUACAUUCAAGUGAAGCUGUGUAAUAGACAGAGAUGACAAAUUUUAUUCAUUUAUGAAUGCCCCCCAAAAUAUAUAUAUAGUUUUUGCCCUCAUGUCUCUUAUUGGGAUGACAGACAUAAAUCAAAGAAUUCCAUAAAUAAAUAUUAAAAUACAA